CCAGCUGCUCCAGCUUCACCGCUGCUUAUAUCCACAAGAUCCAGCAAAUCACCAACCUCUUCUUUCUUGUUCUCCUCCUCUAUUAUCACUGGUUCCUCUGCUUCUUCCUCUGUUUUUUCUUCUUCAUCUUCUUUUGGUGGAGGUGCAGGUAAGGCCUUGAUGGCGUUCAUAUCUUCUUCCUGCUCCUCAUUUACUUCCUCUUCUCUCGCUUCAUCAUCAUCUUCCUCAUUAACAGAUUUUGAGUUAUUGGUCUCUUCUAAAGCGGUUUUGUCUCUUAUAAACUCAUCCAUGAGUUCAAGCUUCUUCUGCGUGAUUUUCUCUAUCUCUGGGUACUCGGAAGACCUAGCGAUACCCAUGUUCUUACACCAGGAAUAGAACUGGUCUAGCUCUUCAAACUGUUUAGAGACACGACAGAAAAUGUCAUAGACCUUGAUCGAAUCAGGAAUCUCUAACUCCAUGAAUCGCUCGAUCAAAACACCCAUUAUCUCUGUCACAUCAUAAUAUAUCUGAAAACUCUCCUUCACUAUCGGAUACAGAGCCACAAUCACAACUCUAUUGUUCCUCGCGCUUCCUGUUUAUGCACAUAACUUGUUACAAAAUGAACAUAGCAUAGAACAAGAAAACAAAUGGAUGUGAUGUAAGUUGUUUAUUUUGUACAAUGUUGAAUAAAUUGUUAAAGCGUGACUAUGACUAGACGGAUUAUUUGAGGUCUAGUGAAGCCUACACUUUAAUUAGUAUUGAUAUAUAUAUUAUAUAUUAAAUAUUUUAGUUUUUAUAUUUAUAAAAUUAUUUUAUGAAUUAUAAAAAUUAGAGAAUAUAAAUUAGACAAAUAUAUGGAUUUACACUAACAUUAUUAAUUGAUUAAAUAAAUUCUGAUUAAUUAUAUCGAUUUAGACCAAUUUUAAUCGAAUGGUUUGAACCGAUUUGAAUAGCGUUAAUCAAAUUUUAAUAAAAUCGUUUUGGUUAUAACUGAUUUGCCACCCUAGGAAAUUUUAAGAAAUUGCUGAAAAUGUUCUAUUCGUGUGAAUCGCAUAAGUCGGAUUGUAUUUGUAGUACCUGCUGGACGACAAGCCAAGAAACGGUCAAGAAGUUGCUGCAAAUGCUGUACUCUGGUGAAUAUCUCCUCUGUUUUCAUCUCCGCGGUAGGUUGUGACCUAACCACUAUAGCCUUGGAGAGAUCAGCCUCGGGCUUAUCUUGCUUGUCAUCCACGGUAUCUCCUCCAACGCAGUAAACUCCACGUUUCCCAUGUCUAGCUUGCAUCCUCAAAUCAAGCCUAUCGUCGAGGUACAAGGCAUAAGUCCUUACAAAAGCAGAGUAGUCCCAUGAGUUUGACCUAGAAACAUCUCUAAAGUCAGACAUGUUGAGAAGCCUUGUCCCACGGCGAGUAGCGAAGAAGAUCUCUUGCUCAUAGGCUCGAUCGCCUUCUCCUAAGAGACGUUGGAUUAGAAUCAAGGUUUUGAGAGCAACGGUCCAGCAUUUGGUUUUGUUAAGACGUCUAGAAAGCGUGUUGACGCAUGCGUUGAUGUAGUUGCGUGAGUAAGAAGUUAGGCUAAGAAUCUCUCUUAUGUACUUCUCUUCCGCUGGGUACUCCUCGUGACGAGUGGCUUUGACGAUGGCAACGUCAAGCUCUGAUAAAGAAGCGCUUCGGCCGUUGACUUUGGCUAGACCGACGCUUGUUUGGUCCUUCACGGCUCCUAUUGCUCGUUUAAGUUUACUAGAACUCAUAUUUUUGUGAUUUAUUAUAAAUGUAUUUUAGUUAGAUAAAGAAAAACAAGACAAUGAGAUGAAGAGAGAAAAGGGAAGAACGAGAGGAUUGUUUUAUUUUUUUGUUCUCGUUUCCUCUCUUCUCCUUUUGUGUGUCUUUUUGUUUCUUUGUUGUCUUCAAUUGUGUAUGUUGUUUUGUUUCGUCAAUGUAGUUUCUUUGGUGUACGUUGAUUUUUACCAUGCAAGUCGCCGAGGUUCUCGGAGACUUUGGCCGGUGAUUAAUAUGCCACGUGACCUUUUUAAUUGGUAAACUGAAAUUUUCCAGUAAGGAGUCAUUCUCGUUCCUUGUCUUUGCCAUUAAUUGUGGAAGGAGGAGAUACUGAUUAAGGAGUCAAUCUCGUUCCUGUGAUCUUCGUUUUUUAGCCAUGGUACACACAAUUUCGAUAAUCUUUGUUUAGAUGAGGUUAUAUAAUUUAUAACUAGACUUUGUAAUAGCAUAUACCUUGAUGAGGCUUUUAUAACAUCCCGGUAUGUGAUAUAUGAAAAUGUUUAAGAUAAUUGAUUUGACUACGUAUAUCACAAAAAUACACUUAUUUUUUAGGGACAUAUUUUUUUAGAACUUCUGAAUUAAGCGUGUUUGAUCUAGAAUAGUAUAAGGAUACCAAAAUGUAACACACGUCUCAUCAACACUCGAGACCGGCGUGUUACUAAUCAACAACUUAUAUCUCAAAAUCUCUAAAAAGGUCUGAAAGUCGAUUUUCAUAUAAAUACAAAAUAAAUCCAUAAAUCCAAUAACUGAAAUAAUCGUAGAAAAUAGUAAACAUAAGUCUGAGAAAUAAAACAAAGAAAAACGCUUAAAAGUACCAACUGUUCGAUCAAUUUUCUACUUGUCAGUCUCACCUAAAACUUUCUCACCAUGAUUUUUUCAAAUGGAAAAUCACUUGUUCAUCAAUAUGUUUUUUUAUUUCGUUAGGUUCCACUUGAAUUAUUCAAAAACAUUUGUUACUUUUUCAUAUAAGAACAGUUAUUAAUAUUUUUUUAUACUUAAAAAUAAAAGGGAAAAUUGCUAAAAGAGAACAAAAAAACAAGGUUGUUGUCCCUUUAGUAUAAAACCAACAUAAAGUUGUCUCAAUAGUAUAUUUUUUCUCAUAAUCCCAAAACUAACCCUAUAUUUAAUCUAAUUAAACACAAUUUAAAAGUUAAUUUGAAUUUUAAAAAAAAAAGUUAAUGGAAAAAAGGUAAAAAACAGUUGAAAGGCAAUCGAAAAAAAAAGAGGUAUAGAUAUGCAUCAUAGAGAACAAGAGUUUGUGAGAAGAAUCAAAAGAAAAACUAUGGAAAAACCAUAGAUUGAUGAAGAAGAGAAGGAAUAAUCGUUUUUUUUUACUUUUGCUUCAAUGUAUUUGUUUUUUUGCUCUUGAUUAUAGAUACAAAAACAUGGUUUGUCAAAUAAGUUCUAACGAGCCAUGGUGAAUUGGUUUUUCAGUUUUCUUUCCCAAUUAUUAAUAUGGGCUUGUGUAACGGUGAGGCCCAUUAUGGGCUAUCCCAGCUGCACAUCUCGCGCGUGUGUUAAUUGUCUGGAGACUAUCCAAACACUCAUGCACCACAUGCCCGAGGGCAAAUCUGUCAUUUACGUUUCAUAUAUCUAUAUAUAUGUGAGUAAUUGGAACCGUUGAUUAUUGGCCUCAGAAAAAUAAACAAGAACCUGCAAGGAGUUCUCUAUGUUCUUACUUCUUCCAUAAGACCAAUGAUGAACACUAAGUUAUCACUUUCUAAGACCAAGAUCAUUGGUUUCACAAUCCGGCUCAACGAUACACGCACUCGAUAUGGACGUUCAACCAUUUCCGCAACUCUCAGUUCAAAGCCAGCCUACUCUGGAGAACUCAAAGUUGUAAAAGAGACAUCAGGAACGGAACCAUUGAAAAAGAAGAAUGCAAGCAAUGAAGACAACUUCUUGUCGAAAAUUGCCAUUAAUUAUCUAUCAAAGACGCUUCGAGACACCGCAGGUUCGUAUCUCACAUCUAUUCUUUGUAGUUUUCACAGUUAGAAAGAGGUAUCUAUUCAGGAAAAAAAAAUGAUAAUUUUUCCUUCAGGGAUUAGUAGUAGUAGCAGCAGCAAGAGUACUGGUUACGAUAGCUUAGUUGACACGGCAACUAGGGUUGCGGGUAACUUAAGCAUCAAGCAACAGCAUGAGCUUGUUCUUGUCGCUUUGGACAGAGCAUUUCCAGCAGUGAUACUCUCCUUGGUAAGUUCUUAUGGAUUUAUAAGAUCAACUAGUCAUGAGAAAUUAAUAAAAGUAACAUUUUCUUGCUAAAAUUACAGAUCAAAAUGCUUUUACCACCUUCGAAACUAUCGAGAGAGAUGUUCGCGCUAUUCACCACAGUGUUUUUCGCGUGGCUUGUUGGACCUUCAGAGGUAAGAUAUAAACUGUUUCAUUACCUCAAAGAUCCUAAACUUUGCCUUUGUUUUUUAGUUCUAAUAAACGGAAGUAUUUUGAAUUUGGGAACAUUAUUGAAAAGGUGAGGGAGACUGAGGUUAAUGGAAAGAAAGAGAAGAGCAUGGUGUUCAUAAAGAAGUGCAGGUUAAGUGUAAUCUCUCUAUUUGGUCCCAUCUGAUCACUUAAUGUGAGACAAAAAAAAUCAAAAUCAUUCUUCCAUAAACAAUCAUUACUUAACAUAAACCACCAGUAACAACACUAAUUUCACUACUGAAUUUUGUCUGUUAAUAAUGCUUUUAACUGUUGUUAAAUUUUGUAGGUUUCUUGAGCAGACUAAUUGUGUUGGUAUGUGCACUCACCUUUGUAAAAUCCCAUCACAAAUCUUCAUAAAAAACUCACUUGGAAUGCCUAUCUACAUGAUGCCCGGUACUACUCAAAAUAUCAUUCUCUUUAUUAUAUAGUUGCAAUCACUAAAACAAGAAGAUCUUAGCAUUCAAUAAAGCAGUUGAAAUCAAACUUAAUAUAUGGUGAAAAUAGUAGCCUGCACUUCUGACUUGUGGAAGCUUUAUAUCAUCUUAAAGGGUCCCAUUGAGUCACCACUAAGGACACAAUUAACUACAAGUAGACCCAUUAAGUCUUCAAGAUGUAUAAUGAUGGGUGAUUAUUCUUUCUAAGAAGUCAAUGAUUUGACUUAAGACACAAGCAAUCAUUCCCUUUUUAAAAUGUCACAACACUAAUUAACAUUUUUCUUGAGUGUUUCUCCACAGAUUUUAAUGAUCUGAGCUGUAAGAUGAUGUUUGGUCAGGAGCCUCCAGAGAUCAAAGAUGAUCCUGUAAUGAAACAGCCAUGCUUUCAAUUCUGUAAGAAUGAAAACGUUUCAGCCAACAAGAUAACUUCUUAAGCAAGACAUUUGAGUAUAAAUAUCAAUUAAAAUUCUCUGUUUUUGCAGGCAAAUCAAACAGAAGCUAUGGUGUGAAGCACUAGAGCUUAUACAAGGGACAUUAAACAUGAUUGUAAUAUCAAAACAUAUAGUAUUUAAGUUUAUCUUGUAAAGAUAAAUCAGAGAUUACAGUUACUUAUAGAAGCAAACCUCAUGCCCUAUGGUAUUGAACCAAGAACAGAAAACAAAACAUGUAAAUGUUUGAAUUUUCAAAAAGAGUAAGACAAUAAGCAGAUCUAUAAGACCAACAUGAAUAAUGGUAGACAAAAAAAGGCUGCAGACAGAAUCAAUAUUGAGGUGUGUAAGAGUAAUUAGGCUGGUUUUGGUUUUGUCUUAUAUUCAUGUGUCCUUGUCUUCCUUCUCUUGAGAAUUGUUCCCACAUAAUCUGUUCUUCCAUCAACAUUCUCUGUUUCUUCUCCAUCUCAUUCAUCUGCACAUAAGCUGGCGGCGCAACCACCAAGGAAGCUGCAAAUGGAUCCAUCGGUACUACCGGCCCAUUGCUGCUUCCAUUGGCCGUUGCUGGUGCUGGAAGUGCCAGCACUGUUGCUGUAAUCAUAGUAAAUUAGUAGAUUGCAAAUGAAAACAGAGUAAACAGAGCAAAGUAAUGUUUCUUUUCAAACCUGCUGGUCUUCCUGCAGAACCAAAUGCCAUACUGCUUGCACUUCCACUGGCUCCAUAAGCCGUUGAGGUUUGCACUGCGGCGUUCACAGUGCCGUGCUGAUACAUCCCGUUGAGAAGCAACAUAUCAAAGCCUCCUCCGAGUUCAGUCUUUUGUCCUGAUAAGUUUGUAGCUGACUGCACCAAAGCCGUCUCCCAAUCUGCUCCAUCAUCCUUAAACGCUUCCCAUCCAGGACCGGACUCUGAACCCGAACCGCUCGCGUAAGGGCCAUCGAAUAAAGCCAAUGCUAAGUUAUCUCCAGCUGCUCCAGCUUCACCGCUGCUUAUAUCCACAAGAUCCAGCAAAUCACCAACCUCUUCUUUCUUGUUCUCCUCCUCUAUUAUCACUGGUUCCUCUGCUUCUUCCUCUGUUUUUUCUUCUUCAUCUUCUUUUGGUGGAGGUGCAGGUAAGGCCUUGAUGGCGUUCAUAUCUUCUUCCUGCUCCUCAUUUACUUCCUCUUCUCUCGCUUCAUCAUCAUCUUCCUCAUUAACAGAUUUUGAGUUAUUGGUCUCUUCUAAAGCGGUUUUGUCUCUUAUAAACUCAUCCAUGAG
rnacentral:lncRNA from 1 species